rnacentral:lncRNA from 1 species
AGAAAAUUCACCCUCAAGGUGGCCGGCCUUUGUGGUUUUAGAGAGCUAUUUUCUUUUGCCUCUUUGUUGUUUUAAACACACAAAAACCCUAAUGAACUUUGUGCUAUAAAGUUCCUUAUAUAGACAAAAGAAACCUAGUCAACAACUUGACUAAAUAUCUCUCCCAAACCCUUUAAGUGGCCGGCCCUUUAGUGUUUGGUUUGGGCUUUGGGCUUUUAUUAUUUCAAGUCAUCCUAUGCUUGAAUAAAAGCCCAAUGGGCCCAAUUAAACCCGAACGUUUCUUUAAGCCCAAAACGAUCUUUUAUCGCUUUUAUGAUUUCUUU